AUGUACCACUGAUUUUCAGUGAAAUCUCACUAUUUUUUUUUAGGAUUUAGAGAAUUAUUCAUAUGAGGAACAGCUGAGGGAACUGGGCUUGUUUAGUCUGGGGAAGAGGAGGCUCAAGGGAGACCUUAUCCCUCUCUACAACCACCUAAAAGGAGGUUUUAGCAAGGUAAGGAUUGGCCUCUUCUCCCAGGCAAUCAGCACCGGGGGCGGGGGGUCAGGUAGGAAAUCAGGAGGAAUUUACUCACAGAAAGGGUUGUUAAGGAUUAGAAUGGACUGACCAGGGAGGUGGUGGAAUCACCAGAUGUGCUCAAGGAACAAUUGGAUGUGGCACUGAGUGCCAUGGUUUAGUUGACAAUGUGGUGUUUGCUCAAAUGUUGGACUUGAUGAUUUUGGAGGUACUUUCCAACCCUAAUGAUUAUAUCAUUCUAGUACUUAAGCCACUAGAGAAGUAAAUUUAGAUCCAAAAAUCACUUAGGCUUUUCUUUUGAAAACAAAACCUAUCCAUCAUAACUUACACACAUGUGAUUAAAUGAUUACACUCUUUUCUACUCCCAAAACUGUUGCAAUAUGCCAGGAAAAUAUAGCAUUAUAGCUUGUUCUGUUAACCAAAUAAUGCUUAUUUUGACAGAAGCUGCUGGGAGCCUUGUGAAUACCCUAAUCUUACUGCCUACCCAUUCCUCUGCUGAAGAUCUUAGCAAGUGUGACAAAACAUGCAGCUCCAAGAACACUGAGGUGUUUUCAAAGAUCAGUAAAAUCCCUUUUCUGCAAUUUAAACCUGUGUUUAUCUACUUAUCCUCCUCCAUGAGAGAAGGCUUGAGAGGCGUGGUCUGUGGCUUCUGGGUGCAUGUCAGUGAGGACUUCUCCAUGUCACAACUUUGACAUUGGAGAGUGGGUGUUAAAAAGGUGAACAUCACACUCUCCUGUGCAGGGUUAACUUCUGCUUCUCCCUGCCUCUGCCCAGGCAGGCAGCAGGCUGAGUGCCCAGCCCACACCAGCACCCUGGCAGCUUGAUGGGGUCAGAAACAGCUGAGCUGUGCUGAGGGGCAGGACCUGCACCUUGUUCAACCAGAAAUGGCUCCUGAGGGAUUUAGGCACAUCCCAACUCCCCUCGCAGUGCUCCUCUUUAGGCAUGGUGCCAAGGAGAUAAAAUAUCAUCAAGGCUAAUUAAGACUGUGGUGUGUGUGUGCAUUAUCUCCUGAGAAGGAGGGUAUACCACAGCCUUAAUAAAGGUCUCCAAAUUGUCUGCUAACAUUCUGCAAUUGCAUUGCUCCCCUUUCCCCAUCAGCACCACCCCAUUUACUCUUCUCUUCAAGCUAUAAUCAUGAAUAAAAUGCUACAUGAAGCCCUCAUUUUUCUAAAACCUCCUAUGCUUCCUUCACAAAAGAACUGCUUUGGCUUCAGCCACAGCAGCUGUGGUUUGCACUAUUCAGCUUUUCAGGAUGGUUUGGCUCAGCAAAACCUACUCUGAAAAAGAAAGCAAGAAAUAACUUCAUUUAACUAAUAUAUGUUCAUAGCAAAAGGCAAGAUGUCCCCCUGCUACCAAGAGAAACCACGUGCUGUCAGCAACACUCUAAUAGUACACACAGAUUUUCAUCUGGAGCUAACUGGAAUUGAAAUAUUUUGCAUGGUGCAAAUCACCCCAUAUGUUUCCACAGUGAAUGGGUUUAAAAUGUCUAUUCAUUACCCUAAGAUUUUGUUACACAGCCACUGGGCAUGAGGAGAGUCCAGACCUCACCACACUGCCCUGCACUGCAGGGCUCAGUUCCUUUACAAUACCCCAAGGAAAGCUGCUAAUCCACAGUCACACAGUCUGGUUUUCAGAUUACCUCCCCCUUUCACUGCUUACAGCAGAGCAAUUGUGCAGAACCCAGGGCAGGGGGAAAGGUAUUUCACAGGGCUCAUUUUGCUGCCCCAUCAAACACAAGGUGGUCAGCAGCAAGAGGCUGUGGAUCUCCACUCACAUAUUUUGGUGGAGAAUUGUUGCAGUUUGGGCAAUCCUUUUGACUUUAUGUAACUUUAAGUUAUUGCAUAAACAUAUUUGGGGGGAGGUUCAGUCACAGUGGACAUUCACAGGAGUUGGAGGGUCUCAGCCACGAGGAGAAAUGAAUAAAAAUGCAGAAAAAUUGGCAAACCAGAGGCUCAGUUUUUCCUGCCUGAUAUACAUCACAGAAAUGCUAAUUACAAUAAUUUGAUGUUUUCAAUAUUAUAACACUCCACCAAGUUAAUGAAUUUUAGCAUGGUGACAAAUGGCUUUUGUUUCUAAGUCUGCUGUACAAUAUUCUCCUUUAAGUGAAAUUAUUUAAAUCAUUAAAAUGUCAAUAAAUUUCAGAAAGAAUUUUGCAUGUAAAGCAUAUGAGUAUUUUGCAAAAGCUUUCCCAAAGUUUCAGCUCUCUAUUUAAAAACACAUGCAGUUAAUUUCUGUUAACUGCUCCCGCCAUUCACAGUUACAUCAAAAACAUGCAAAUCACAUCAGUCUUUCUACAUCCAUACAUCAUCCAUAGCAUCAGAUUGUUCAGAACACUCUGUCUAAGAGUCAGAGAGGCACUCAGAUUUGAAAGCAAUCAUUUUUGUGUUUUCAGAGAAUGAAAAUGUGCUGAUGACUGAGCAACCUCACAGCUGCAGAAACAAAUGGUAUUUUUCCUUCUGACUGCCUCCACCAGCAUCCUCACAGAUGACUUUUGUAUCCUUUUUCCUCAGUUACUGAAACACUCUUCAUGUACAGCCAUGUGCAUAUUGAUGUUCUGCUAUUAACAGAGGCUUGCACUGCAGAACUUCUAAUUACAGACUUGGCCCCUUGUCUAGAUGAUAGUCUGUCAAAUUAAUAAACUAUAACUCUGUCAUUUAUGGUACCACCUGUGUGUGGCUUCCACGUGGGGCUUUUUUUUAUUAUUUUGAUCAAGAGCAUAAGGGUGUUGUGGACAUAGAUACAAAAAGUAAUAUGGGUUCAGAAAAAGACUUAUGGGAUGGCAUAUUCAGGGGCUAAUAUAAAAACAUGUGUCUUAUUUUAGGUAUGGGUCAAGAUUUGUCCUUCUAUAUCGCAUAAAACUAACGGCUGCUUCAAGUAGAGAUAACCAAUAUAAAAGAGGCAAAUAAGUAAAUGACUUGUGAGAUGGAGAUCCAAGCCCUUAAUUAAAACUAUUUGAUCAAGGUCCAUCAGGUGCUGAGGUCUUCUUGCAAUGGGAGUGAAGAAGAAAGAGAGAACAUCCGGCACUUUCCAGGGCUCAACUCUGAUGUACAGUUUCUGCUAAACUGAGUAACCUUUGAGGGUGAAUGAUGCUGUACCACAGUGGGCUGAAUUCAUCCUUCUAAGAAAAAAAAUUAAUGCUUUUCAAAUCUUAAUCUACAUUGAAUUGCAAUUUUUGUCCUUUUUUGUUGUUGUUAUUGUAAUGUAAACUUAUGCAAAUUAGAAUAAUGCUCUCCCUCCUGAGUACAGGAAAGAUUAGAUCUUUAAUUUCAUCCACUGCAGUUGAAAAAAUUAAUAAGUGCUUCUUAUGAAAUUAAGUUUUAAAAUAAUUACCUUGACAGAAAUAAUUACACCAUCACCUCUGCCUUAUAUUAGCAAAUAAGGCAAAAGAAGAAGAAAAAAAAUUCCAUGUGAUAUAAUGUGCACAGAAUGGAUGAAUGGAGGAAUUCAGUCUUAAAAUUAAUGAGGGAGAAGAUAACAGACAUCGAAUAGAAUAAAUAAUCAUUCCUGUUUCUUAUGUGGUGAACUAUGAACUGUGGUGAACCUAUGAACCAAAACUCUAAGGACUCCUGGACUCCAGCAGGGAGAAGUAGCUUCAACACCUCCAUGCUGAAAGGCUGAAUGCCUCUCUAUGCGGCCAAGAUAAAGCUUUAACUUCUCUGGUCCUCUCUCAGGCUUUGUGUCUGUCAUCUGGAGCAGCAAUACUUAGGACACUUGCACCUCUGAUGUUAUUACUGAGUCAUUUUUUACUUUUGAGUGUGCAAUUCUCUAUCCUGAAUGCACAAGAACACAGUAUAUCCAAAAGCACCUGUGCCAAAUCCCAUGCAAUUCUACUGGCUUGCUGUUACUUAAAACUUUUGUAAAUAUUCCAAACAUUUACAUCUACAACCAGAAGAGAAACUAUGGCCAGGCAUCCAGAUAUAACUAAAACAGAAUCAUCCUAGUAAAGUAUCAUAAAAUAUCACAGAAUAUCAUAGAAUAUUCUGAGUUGGAAAGUACUCACAAGGUUCAUCACAGUCCAAUUCCCAGAUAAUAAAGCAUGUCUGCAGAACAUUCCUCCUUGUCUAACAUGGUAUGUUUAGAAAGCUUUAUUGCUGUAGCAGCCAGAGUAUUUCUUUUUGAGCCUCAUGAGCAGCAAUCCCUCAGCUGCGGUGGCAGCAGCUGCGUCAUUCAGCUCUGGUUGCAGAAUUGCAGUUCCCAAACCUCAUCUUUCAUUUAAACUACUGAAGCACUCGACCCAGACAUACUCCUGGAAUCUCAGAGUGAUGAAGAAAAUACUGAAAAAUAUGAAUUACUAACUGUCUUGGGCUUUCCCUAAGGAAACAUUGUUAUAAUUUUUCAAGUUUUCUUCUUAAUCAUCUAUGAAUUGUAAAUAGAAGAUGCAAACAUCAUCACACUUAUUAAUUCCUGUAGGACAAAAUUAUAUUUUUCCUUACAAAUUUUACCGCCAGCAUUGUGUAUACACUGCAAG
ensembl:lncRNA